UACGAAGGGUGCAAACGUUGCUCGGAAUCAUUGGGCGUAAAGCGCACGUAGGCGGCCUCAUAAGUCGGGUGUGAAAUCCCUCGGCUCAACCGAGGAAGUGCAUCCGAAACUGCGAGGCUCGAGUAUGGAAGAGGGUCGCAGAAUUCCCGGUGUAGAGGUGAAAUUCGUAGAUAUCGGGAGGAACACCAGUGGCGAAGGCGACUUCCUGGCCUGUUCUUGACGCUGAGGCGCGAAAGCUAGGGGAGCAAACGGG
rnacentral:rRNA from 1 species